rnacentral:rRNA from 1 species
AUUGAACGCUGGCGGCAUGCUUUACACAUGCAAGUCGAACGGUAACAGCACUUCGGUGGCUGACGAGUGGCGAACGGGUGAGUAAUACAUCGGAACGUGCCUAGUAGUGGGGGAUAACUACUCGAAAGAGUAGCUAAUACCGCAUGAGAUCUAAGGAUGAAAGCAGGGGACCUUCGGGCCUUGCGCUACUAGAGCGGCUGAUGGCAGAUUAGGUAGUUGGUGGGAUAAAAGCUUACCAAGCCGACGAUCUGUAGCUGGUCUGAGAGGACGACCAGCCACACUGGGACUGAGACACGGACCAGACUCCUACGGGAGGCAGCAGUGGGGAAUUUUGGACAAUGGGCGCAAGCCUGAUCCAGCAAUGCCGCGUGCAGGAUGAAGGCCUUCGGGUUGUAAACUGCUUUUGUACGGAACGAAAAGCCCUCUUCUAAUACAGGAGGGUCAUGACGGUACCGUAAGAAUAAGCACCGGCUAACUACGUG